AGCGAACGCUGGCGGCAGGCCUAACACAUGCAAGUCGAGCGCCCAGCAAUGGGAGCGGCAGACGGGUGAGUAACACGUGGGGAUCUACCCAAUGGUGCGGAAUAACCCAGGGAAACUUGGACUAAUACCGCAUGUGCCCUUCGGGGGAAAGAUUUAUCGCCAUUGGAUGAACCCGCGUCGGAUUAGCUAGUUGGUGAGGUAAAGGCUCACCAAGGCGACGAUCCGUAGCUGGUCUGAGAGGAUGAUCAGCCACACUGGGACUGAGACACGGCCCAGACUCCUACGGGAGGCAGCAGUGGGGAAUAUUGGACAAUGGGCGAAAGCCUGAUCCAGCCAUGCCGCGUGAGUGAUGAAGGCCUUAGGGUUGUAAAGCUCUUUCGCCGGUGAAGAUAAUGACGGUAACCGGAGAAGAAGCCCCGGCUAACUUCGUGCCAGCCGCCGCGGUAACAC
rnacentral:rRNA from 1 species